GAAAGCACACGCCGCCACGAACGAUUCUGGAUAUCACCAGCUUGUCAGUCACUGGUAAGCCAAACAUUUAGAGAAGAAACAAACAAACAAGCCUCUCGUAUCUGUUGUGAAGGCUAAGGACACAUGCUUGCAUCGAGCCCUUCAUCAUCGCGACCCACAGGCAGCUGAGCAAGCUUCAUCCUCUAAACCCGUUUCUGCAGCCACACUUCAAGCACACCAUGUCAAUCAACUCGCAAGCGCGGCAAAGCCUCAUCAAUGCAGCUGGAAUCAUCGAGCUAACUUUCACUCCAGGAAACUACUGCAUGGAGAUGAGCGCCGUGGUUUACAAAGGCUGGAGAUUCGACGAACAAGGCCUACCAGCAGAUCUCAUCAAAAGGUAACACAAACAAAACAAAAGAAAUGCUGGCACUGACACCACUCAUUAAAACUCGGUUCCAGAGGGAUGGCUGUCCCAGACUCCACAGCAAAGCACGGACUCAAGCUUGCGAUCGAGGACUAUCCAUAUGCCGCAGAUGGUCUUGAAAUCUGGGACGCUCUGGAAAAAUGGACGUCCAGUUACCUCGACGCUUGCUACAAAGACGACGAAGCAGUAGCAAACGAUGCAGAGCUCCAGGCCUGGUGGAACGAAGUAAUCAAGAAAGGCCAUGCAGACAAGAAGGACGAGCCAUGGUGGAUCAAGCUGGACAGCAAGAAAAACCUGGCUCUAGCGCUCACCACUAUAAUCUGGGUAGCGUCGGCCCAUCACGCAGCCGUGAACUUUGGCCAGUAUGCAUACGCUGGCUACAUGCCCAACCAUCCCACCGCCACUCACAAGGCAAUCCCGGCUGAGAACUCGGACGAACACAAGAAGCUGCUGGCAAACCCUGAGAAAUUCUUCCUCGAGUCGGUCUCGAGGAAGCUGGAAGCGAUCCUCGUCAUGCUCACGCUCGAGAUCCUAUCCACUCACGCGUCGGACGAGGAGUACCUGGGGCAGCGUGCCAUCGCGAACUGGACGGAUAAUCCCAAGGCCAAGGCCGCCUUCCAGAAUUUCACCGCCGCGAUGAAGAAUGU
rnacentral:lncRNA from 1 species